UACGUAGGGUGCGAGCGUUGUCCGGAAUUAUUGGGCGUAAAGCGCACGUAGGCGCCUUGUAAGUCUCACUGUGAAAGUCCGGGGCUCAACCCCGGGAUGCCAGGGGAUACUGUCGGACUAGAGUUCGGAAGAGGCGAGUGGAAUUCCCGGUGUAGCGGUGGAAAUGCGCAGAUAUCGGGAGGAACACCUAUGGCGAAGGCAGCUCGCUGGGACGUUACUGACGCUGAGACGCGAAAGCGUGGGAGCAAACAGG
rnacentral:rRNA from 1 species